rnacentral:lncRNA from 1 species
UGGAUUGGAGACUCUACAUGGCUUGGAAAGCCUUUGUAUGGGUUAAGAGCUAGUGGUACUCGGCGAUUCACAUGGGUGCACUCGUUGAGUUGCAUGAAGAUAGGCAGAAACUCGAUGAGUUGUAAGAACAACUCGGCGAGUUGGUUGAAGAUAGCCUUGGACUCGGCGAGUCUGUUCUUGGACUCAGCGAGUCUGUUCGUGAGGUCCUAACCUUUCCUGGUUGAGCUGUGACUCGGUGAGUCAAGGGAUGACUCAGUGAGUUGAGUGCGAUUAGACUCAGAGUUGUGGGACUCGGCGAGUCUUGGGGCGACUCGGCGAGUUGAGUCGUGUUAUGGGAGUUUCAGAGCAUAGGGACUCGACGAGUCAGUGGGGUGACUCGGUGAGUAGAGAUAGUCUUGUGUUGACCAGUUGUCUUCCAGGGGUAUUUUGGUAUUUAUCGAGUUCAGUAUUUUGGUUUUUGAUCAGUGGUGAAGUUUGUAUCAGAGUUUGGAGCAGCGUGAUCUUAUUUCUUCAGUCGGCAGUUGCGAGAUGAGUUAUCCUCACUAUAUCAACAGGGUCUAAGGCACCAAGGCCGUCCCUUUAUCGGAUUGUAAUCUGGGUAUCGUUGUUAUGUUAUUGCUUUGCUAUGUUUGCAUCCUGGUAGUUAGGAUGGUAUAUGUUAGAGACCUGGUUAAGGUCGGUAUCCUGGUAUAUAGGAUGAUGCUAUGCUAGUGACCGGUUAGGUCGAUAUCCUGGUUAUGAUGAUGUUAUGUUAUGUGAUCUGCUAGAUCGGGUUGANGUCCUGCUUUGUGCUGUAGGCCAACAUACCCAGGGCGAACCGGAUAUUCCGAAGGCCCAGCGAGCGGUCCGGAUAGGUUGUAGGCCCAUGAGGGCGGACCAGACGUGCCAAGGCUCGGAGAGUGGACCAGGCCGACUGAAGGCCCGGUGCGGGCGGACCAGUCAUACUGUAGACUCAGAGAGUGGACCAGGUGGGUUGAAGGCCUGGUGCGGGCGGACCAAUCGAAUUGCAGACUCGAUGGAUAUGGCUAGACUCGGAGGGUGGACCAGCUGGACUGAAGGCCCGGUACGACGUACCAGUCACACAGUAGACCCGAAGUGCAUAACUGUUCUGGAUUCUGUUAUGUUAUGAUAUGUUAUGCGUGGUAUAUGUGAUUGGUAUUUUGGGGGUAUCUCACUAAGCUUUCGAGCUUACAGUUGUGGUUUAAUGUUUUUCAGGUACUUCAGGAGACCGUGGCAAGGCAAAGGCGUGAUCGUACCGCUCCUCAUAUUUAUGUUUUAUGAAAUGGUUCUGGAAAGACUCUGAUAAUAAUUGUAUUGAAAACCUUUUUUCAAUAACGUAAUGAAAUUGGGUGGCUUUUGAAAAGUUUAAAUUGGUUGGAAUUUUUAGAGCGUUACAAGUUGGUAUUAGAGCCUUGAUUUAAGUGAAUUGGAGGAACAUUCGUGUGAAUCCAGUCUCAAAUCAAGGAGAGUUUUCAAAAGAGAAUUUAAAAUGGUAUUCAAAAUGAGUAAAAGAGGACGCGGGGGUACGAUCAGCUGGAGCCAGUAAGUUACCCCAAAAUUACCACACAAGUUAUUUGUUUAUGAGAUAUGAUAGAACAGCAUGCUAGUACUAGACUAGGGAUCUUCAGGAAUUGCAUGAUAGAGUUGCCUGAUUACGAUGCCUGCUAGCCUACAGUUUCUUUCUGUAUGAGAUUUCCAGUGUUCCUCUAGGAGUGAGGGUAGAGUGUUUGUUAUGCUUGUUCUUCACUAGGGUAUUGUGGUGAUACUUGAUAUUAAUAUGGGUAGGUGUGGAAGGUAGUAUGAGCCCGUACUACUGAAAGCACAGGACCCAUACGCGUAUCAAGGAAGUCACAACCCCUAGGGCUGGGUUGAGAGUCGGUUCUCGGGUUAGUGAGAAGCGUCAGAUGUUUUGCGGUAUUUUCAGUAUGGUGGUUACAAGGCAUGCUGGGAGCGGAUCCAGAUCAGGAUCGGGAGCAGGAGAGGGCGGUCAGGGUGGGUCAGUACCACCCGAGGUUAUUGGUUAGAUGAGCACAAACGACUUGGAUGCUAGGAUUCAUGAGAUCCUGUAUGAUGAGGUUGCUGCGAUGUUCCGGGCUGAGUUGCCGGAACUGUUUUUGUCGAUCAAGACCACCAUGGUUGAGUAUUUUGAUGAGCGUUAUGUAGAUCUUACAGAGACAGCUGCCGCGGUAGCUACNGUAGCAGCGGCAGGGGGAGGAGCCGGUAGAGGUUUUCAGUAUCGGGACUUCGAUAAUACGAAGCCCCCUACCUUCGAUGGAGUUUAGGACCCGAUUGUUGCUAUGAGAUGGUUGUCAGACGUGGAGGGGUGUUUCUGUUGGAUAUAGUGUCUAAGUCCAUUACUAUAUUUGGUAUGUAAUUGACCCAACCCGACAUGGUCCAUUUGGGUUGCACUUCACCCAAACAAUUUAUGGAUAAUCUUUUGAGAAUAGUACAAGUUAUGAUUUAUUAAUAUAUUAUAAGUUCUAAUAUAUUAAUAUAAGAUCAUAUUAUUUAAUUAGUAUUGAUCUAUAAUUAAUCUAGGAUUAAUUUAGAGAUCAAAAGUAUUACUAAUUAAAUAUGGGCUCCUAUAUUUAUAUAGUGUGGGCUAAUGCUUAUUUGGAAUGGGCUAGGCUUGCAUGGAAAGUCCAUGGAUACUCCAUGGAGCUUUAACCCAUGGAUCUCAUGGAAAUGAAGAGACAUGGGUAUUAGGGUUUACAUGGAUGUAACCCUAAUCCACCACACUAUAUAAAGGAGGCUUUGGUUCUUGAAAUCACACUAGUUGUGGUGAGUAAAGUAAGAGGGCCGAUUUCAAGAUAGUUGUGACUAUUCUCUCAAGGUUCCAAAGUUUGUGGUGAUUUGUGAUUUCCAUUUGAGGCAUUCACACUAUUGGUGCUAGGCUCUAAAACUCCAAGCAAUCAACUGCAACUACAAGGUAAGUAAUUCUACUAGCUCUAUUUGAUUCAAGUUCCCCAUGCGAUGCUAUAUAGGAUAAGAACCUUGGAAAACAAUUAUUUGCAUAUGUAUCUUAGUCAAACAUAGAUCCAAGGUUUAUUAGGGUUGCAUGUACACUUAGGAAGUGUUAGAAUGCUCAAAACCCAUCAGUGGUAUCAGAGCAUAGGCUUGUUUGUUUGAUACUUGAUGCAAAAUAUUGGAAAUUAAAAGUCGAAAUCUUGCUGUCUUCCUGAUGAAAUCGCCGAGUCCAUGGGGGGACUCGCCGAGUUCAUGUGUAUCUUCAUCGUACUCGCCGAGUAGGUUCAUGCACUCGAUGAGUAGGAGCCUCAGAAUGCAUAUUUCNGGGAUCAGUUCAGAGAGAUGUUCAGUACUCGCUAUGUUCCACGAGUUGAGAGGGAGAGAUUAGCUCAAGAGUUCCUGGAGGUGAAGCAGGAUUCAGAGUUAGUGACGGAGAUAACCAGGAUGUUCACAUAGAGGGCGAUGUUUUGCCCUGAGUUUGCUUUAGAGCAGGCUCAAAUGUCCUGAUAUCUGAGUAUGCUCAAGAGGGAUAUCAGACAGUUCGUGUCUACGCAGAGGUGCGAGACCUUACUGGAGUUGCACGAGGCCGCUCGACGGCGUGAGUUGGAGAUUGAGUUGCAGUUGCGAGAGCAGAGGCAGGCCCCGAUGCAGUCACCGCUAGCGCCGAAACAGUCCAAGACCGUUGAUUCUAGAUUGGGAGAUCAUAGCAGCCGCACUUGUGGGAAGUGUGGGAAGGGUCACACCGGAGUUUGUAGGUCCGGUGGUGCAUGCCGCAAGUGCGGAAAGGAAGGGAAUCAUGCGAGGGAUUGUCGGCAGACAUCCCUGGUUCAGGAUUUGAGGAUUUGUUAUCACUCCCAUCAGGUUGGACACUUGAGGGUCAACUGUCCAUAGCUUGCUGCAGGACCGGUGCAGGCUCCAGCACCGGCCAUUUUGAGGAUUACGGGUAGCGGUCAGGGUGGAGCGGAGCCCCCGAGGGCUCAAGGUCGUGCUUUUCAGCUUGCAGCAGAGGAGGUCAGGGCAGCACCGGAUGCAGCUGCGGGUAUGUUUCCUUCUUGAUAUUUUGUUAUCUUGUGAUUAUUAUGGAGUAUUGUAUAUCUGCUAGUCUCGUUGUGUGAUUUUUGGUAUUGUAUUUGUUCGUUCCUUAAGGGUUAUGGUAUGGUUAAGGGUUUUGGUAUUGGGGGUUUUGUUGGUUAUCAUCCAUGGGGAUUAUUAGUGGGAAAUCAGGCUUUUGGUCUGAAUGUCGGGUAGCAUCUGCAGUCUGAGGAGUGGUUAGCUGAAGGUUGGGCUUCUUUUAGGUCCGAGAUGAUCAGUGUUGAUAUGUGGUUUGUGAAGGUUACUCGUUCUAGUGGGAAUCAAUUCGCGUGUAAGGGAAUGUGUUGCGAAGGGUUGUUAAGGGAGGUUGGUUAUGGCGACCGGUGGUUGAUAGUCAGUGCUCUAAGUGGGGUGAAUUGGAAAAUUCUCCGGAAGAUCGACAAGCAUGCGGGGUUGAUUAGCUGUUUGGGAUUUAGCAGCGGUUCUGUCAGCCAAAAGCAUAGGCUGGUAUGAGCAAGUGACAGGCAAACGAGGCAGGAUACAGACCAAGGGUUUCGUAAAAAAGGUGAUUGAUUAUGGAGGGCCUAAGAUCUGGCUGGGAUUAAGUAUGUAGGUAGGAGUUAGAGUUUGGAACCCCUAGAGGGCUAGAACUGUAUGCGUGGGAGAGUUUUCCAGGAGGGAUAAUUCGGGAUGAUGAAUGGUAGUUGAGUGUUCCAGAUAGACUGAAGGCCGGUGGGCGUACUAGUCAGGCCGAAGGCUCGGAGGACGGUCCAGAAUGGCUGAAGGCCCUGGAGGGCGGUCCAGACAUGCUGAAGGUUCUAAGAGUGGUCCAGAUUGGCUGAAGGCCUAGUAAGGCGGUCUGGUCAUGCUGAAGACUCUGCAUGUGUUGAUAGAUCUGUAUGAGGAGAUGGAAUGAGUAUGUUGUGAUGUGAUAGCAUCAGAAGGUCUGGCCCCGGGUAUUGAUCAUGAUUAGUGGAAGGUAGUGCAUAGACUCGAGAGUCCCUGUGAGCAGAUUCAGAGCAUGUGUGGUGCAUGGUUUAGCGGUUAUGCUAUAAGGGAAUGGUGUAGCGUUGGGCGAGCACCGUGGCACUUGUUGUAGUGACUAGGCGGCCAAGUAGAUUUCCUUGGAUAAGGAAAGGGAAGGGUUUGUAGCUCCGAGAGGGAGUGUAAGUUCACGGAAGUGAAAGUAGUAGUGCGGAGGUUUGAUUGAGGUGUUUUAGUUAUGGUUUGAGCGUGUGUAUGUGCCGGUGGUAUGGAAUCACAUUCGGGUUGGAUGUCUGCUGAGGUCACGGAGGGAGUUCCGAGGGUGUAGAGCCAAAAAGGCUCGGAAGGGAUGCAAGGAUGGAGCCUUGGAUUCCCGGUUUGGUGUGAACAAGAAAUUAUGCAUGUAGUGGUAAUUCAUCCUGGGGGAUGUUUGGAGGUGUCGUCAGUGUGUCGGGUUUUCCCAACCCGAGGAUGCUAGAGCCAAUUCAACAUGUGUAUGUGAUUGCGGAGGAGAACUCAUGGGAAUUGAUCUGAAGCUGAAGGAUGUUUCAUCUUGUAAAAGGAUAGAGUUGGACUCAGAAAGGGAGCAGGUUAAGUCUCAACAGUGAAUUCGGUGAAGGAUAUGUCUGACGAGGAAAAUGAUAGCAGUGUGGUACUGGGUCGGGAUGCCAGUGGUUCAUGGUUACAUCUAGUUCGUAAGAGUCAAGUGAUUGUUGUGAUUUGGAACGAGUGAAGUAUCAUGGAGUGGUACUCGGUUGAUAAGUGUGGUUAUCAGAGGAUGAAGCUGGUGGUCGGCUUGAGGCGGUGGUCAGGACACCGCAGGGGAAGCGUUGGGUUUUGGGUUUCGUUGGUAGUGUUUUGAGGAACCUGGUUUGGUUAAUGCCAGGUGGAGCAUUGUGGGAGUAUUUUCUGGAUUUGUGUUGCCGCAGGCUUCGAGGGAGAAGCCUAAUUUAAGUGGGGGAGAAUUGUAACAUCGCGGAAAUUUAGAAGUAAAGUUGAAGGGAAAAAAGUGUAAAUAAGAAGGUCGACUCGACGAGUCUCUGGAUAGACUCGGCGAGUCGAGUCGCGUUACGGGUCACGUGUUAAGUGACCAACUUGGCGAGUCGCAAGGGUGGUCUCGGCGAGUUGGUGCUGUACGGAGAAAACCCUAAUCCCGGGGGUUGAUCCCUAUAUAAAGAACAUAAUACCCUCUCCCCAGCCUCUUUACUCUCCCUUGAAGUCCAGAAACCCUAAUAUUCGUUUGUGAGAGAAUUAGAGAGCAUUUGGAUCUUGAAGGAGUGUUUGUUGAGGAGAUUUUUGAAGAUUAAGAGGCUUGGAGGGAGGAGCUUUACAAGGUUUUGGCUUAUUCUUCUAUUGGAGUCUUCUUUUGAGGUAAUGAUUCGUUGCUUGAGCUGUUAUCCUUCUAGAUCUAUCAUUUGUGGGAUUUUUGGGAGUAUAUCUAGUGAUAUCUUGAUUUUGGAGGUUGGUGUUGGGUUUUGAGCAUUCUAACACUCCUAAGUGUACAUGCAACCCUAAAUACCUNAGUCUUGGAGUCAUUUUGUUGGGUCAAAAUAUGGUUUAUACUUUGCUUUUCUGGGCAAUUAUGUUUUUGUGUAAUAUUUUAUGAGCUUACAGUCUAGUUUACGGUCAGGUCAUGUUUACGGUUGAGUUUACGGCCGUAAACACCUUACGACCGUAAACCCAUUUACGGCCCAUGUUAUCUGGACCAUGUUCUCCAAGUAUAAAUAUAGGUGUUAGGGUGAGGAGUAGAGAUUUGAUGAACAAAAGAGAGUUUACGGCCAGAGAGAAGUUUUGUGUGUGUGAAUCUUUUGUAUCCAGAUCUUCAUUCUAAUCAAUUCAUACAUAGAUUCAUAUUAUUCUCCUUCUCCUUCUUUUCUAUUUGAUCUGACAUCAUCCGUUUGAUUGGGAUUCCGCACCAUCAAACGGAUCUGAUUGAUACACGGGCGAAUUAGGGACUUACAAUUGGUAUCAGAGCCAAGUUGUAUCAGUCAAUUUUGUCAUAUUUGGAGCAUUAUUUGAUCUUAUUUUUGAAAUAUUAUUUCGUUUUUGGAUAGAUCUUGCAAAAAUAAGGGGGGUUUGUUCUUCGUGUUUUUCAUAAAAAAAAAGGUUUUUGAUCGAGUUUUGGAGCUUUAAAGUCGAAAAAUCGGUGUUUUUGGUCGGAAUUUGCAGCCGACGGCUAGGGUUUGGGAGUUCACGGCCGGAAACUGUUCACGGUCGCCGGAGGAUUGCGACCGGAGUUUAAGUCCGGAAACGAGUUCACGGUCGUCGGAGUUUGCGGUCGUCGGUUCGGGUCGUCGGAGUUUGCAGUCGCCGGGUCGGAAGUCUUCUCGGUCAGCAACAUCAAUGCAUCAAUGCUUCGCAUUUAAAAAAAGUUCCACGCGAUUUGAGGUUGCUGGGGAUCGAACCCGGGACCUCCAGUUCAUAGUCAGCGUGCCUUGCCAACUCCACCAACAGAUCCUUUGUGACUUGACUCCGAAAUUAACCACUCCUUGCCGCUUCCAAGUUUCGCAAAUUUCACACUUUCAGCCCAAAAUUCAAUUUCUUUGAGUUUUAAAUUCCUUUUUCAUCCAAAAUUAAAAUAAUAAUAGUAAUAAUUGUAUAAUUAAAAUUUUAACUUUUAUUUUUUAUUUUUUAUUUAAAAUUUUGAUUUUGACUUUUCAAGUUUGAAUUUUGAGUUUAAUUUUUUUUUUAAAUUUGAAUUUUAAGUUUGACUUUUGAGUUUAACUUUUUUAAUUUGACUUAUAAGCUUGACUUUUCAAGUUUGACUUUUGAGUUUACCUUUUUAAAUUUGACUUUUAAGGUUGACUUUUGAGGUUUAUAAUCAAAGGGUUUGACUUUUAAGUUUUAUUUUAGCUUCUAGUUGUGCUUUUAAUUGAUUUUAAGUUUACGAGGGAAUUGAAAAACAUGAAAGAGAGUCGUCAGGAGACGUUAAGACAAAAUUUCAACAUGUUCGAUUAUAUCCAUGGAGAAACCCUGAAAACUCAAUUGCAGCGAUUUACUACACUUGCUACUGAGAUGAAUAUAGCUGGGAUCUUCUUGACCAAAUCUGAGAUAAACUAAAAGCUAUUGAACUCACUUUCAAAAUCGUGGGAUAUGAACGUGUCUAUCAUCAAGAAGAAAAAAGAUCUCAAUCAUCUUACUCUUGCUGAUGUAAUUCAAGAACUUGAUGUUUUGAAGUGUAGAGAAACAAUGAGUUCUGAAAACAUUCCCGUCACUGAAGUUACAUGUACUCCAGCUUGUGAAGCCACGAUUAAAUUUCUUCGAGAACAAAUUGAUUUAUUUAAAAGAGAAGUUGAGGACCUGAGAUAUGAAGGAUAUCAACUCAGGAAAGGACAGAAACCCCUGAAGGCUGAAUUAGAAGCAAAAACCAAGGACUUUAGGAAACUUCAGGAAGAGUAUAGCAACAAGUGUGAAUAUUAUGAUUAUGUUAAGAGACAACUUGCUACUGCAACUGAAAAAAUUGACACUUUAAAAAUUAAGUGUGGAAAAACUGAUGUUAGUUUCAAAAAUUAUACUGUGUCAAGUCAGACAGUCGAGUCCUUAUGUGAAACCUAACUAAAAUUCAAAGAAAAUCAAAACAAGGGUAUAGGUUAUGAUAGUGUACCUCAUCCUUAUAAUCAUAACUACACAUCCAUCCCUAUGACACGAAACUGANGGAGCCACAUCUUUGAUAUGGAAAACGAGCUGGAUUUAUGUCAGGAGGAGUUAUUAAUGUUGAAAAUACUAAUGUUUCUGUUACAUGUGCAGGUAAAGUAGCAGAGGAUGAGAACAAGGAGAGUUCUUCUGAACAAACAAAUGACCGCUUGAACUCUAAAUCUGUUGCUUCUAAUCAACCCGCCGUUGGUAAAUACAUGCCACGAUUUUAAGCUAAACAGAGUGCCUGUUGCAACUGUGCGUGUGGGAAAAAUAAGAGACAAGGCAAGGAUACGCCACCAGGGGCAGGAAUAAAUAACUUCACAGUGAAGAAAAAGACUUGUUUUCAAUGUGGAACACAUGGACACAUUGCCAGAAACUGUCCAAAUCGCGCGUACGUUCCCUACUACGCACAAGGAUGGAAAAACGCACCAAGUGGGAGAUACUUCAAAAGAAACCCUUCCAUGUCACGUUCAGACAAUGGUGACUGGAACGCGCAGAAGGCUAAGAAUCAAACCCGCAAGGCAAAGAAUCCGAAUCCCAAUGGCAAGAAGGAAAUGCCUGCCAAGAAGCCAAAUCCAAGAGAUGCUCCAGUGAAACAAAGAUCGGCUAAGUCAAAGUCAUCUCGAAGAUCGGCUUCAAGUUCCAAAGCAAGUGUCGAGGCACCCAUCGGAUCGAACAAGAAAUGGGAUAAANNNNNNNNNNNNNNNNNNNNNNNNNNNNNNNNNNNNNNNNNNNNNNNNNNNNNNNNNNNNNNNNNNNNNNNNNNNNNNNNNNNNNNNNNNNNNNNNNNNNNNNNNNNNNNNNNNNNNNNNNNNNNNNNNNNNNNNNNNNNNNNNNNNNNNNNNNNNNNNNNNNNNNNNNNNNNNNNNNNNNNNNNNNNNNNNNNNNNNNNNNNNNNNNNNNNNNNNNNNNNNNNNNNNNNNNNNNNNNNNNCGCUCCACUAACGACUUUGAGAAUGCAAAUAUCACAAUUGCUAUCUAGCUAAAAUCUACUUAGUGAAAGUGUUUCCUCACCAUCAUUUUCAUGAAUCGGAGAGAAACCUUAUGACACUUAGAUUUAAUGGUGUAUGAAUUCCUACCCAUAUGAAUUUGUCAAAACCAUAAUAACAAGACAAUGAUAAUGACAAAUCCAAAUUAAUUUGGAUUUAACUCAAUCUUAACUUCUUCCCACCUGGCAGCUCAAGGGCGUGCCUUUGCUUCCAAGUUGUUGUGCAACACAUUGAGAACUCUAAGAACUCAUAUGCAAAGCCAACUUUAACUGGAAUGGGCACAAAAUAUGUCAACACGAUAGGUUAUAAACCUCAAGUCGUGUGCUAGUGAAGAACUUCAGGUUUUAUUCUUGAUUAGUUCUUGAGACUUUCAAGACCUUUAAGACUCCCACUGUCCUCUUGACAUAUAAGACUNNNNNNNNNNNNNNNNNNNNNNNNNNNNNNNNNNNNNNNNNNNNNNNNNNNNNNNNNNNNNNNNNNNNNNNNNNNNNNNNNNNNNNNNNNNNNNNNNNNNNNNNNNNNNNNNNNNNNNNNNNNNNNNNNNNNNNNNNNNNNNNNNNNNNNNNNNNNNNNNNNGAUAGGUUGAGCAGGGAGAUAUAUAUGGGAAUCUACUCGUCACAUUAAAUGAACCCGUACUUGGAACCGUGGUUUAACUUUUCCUCGAUGUGCGGAUUCUGUCCUUAAUUCCGGUUGGAUGGGGCGACUGGUAAAUUCCGAUAAAUUAGGUCUGUAGAAUAUCAUUUUCUUUCUUUCCGUCUGUUAGUCAUAUGUUGUCUCCUUUGCGUGACUUCCAAUCCGACCUGGUACACAACAUAUGCAACUCUAUUUCUCUGCAUGUUAUAUAUGUGAAAUACUUCUUAUCUGUUAGCCAUAUGUUGUCUCCUUUGCGUGACUUCUAAUCCGACCUGGUACACAGCAUAUGCAACCUUCUUCUUCUCAACCCCUCUGAGGUAAUAAGUAAUAAAAUUCUGAAUCUAUCCUCUCUCUGAAUGGUUGUCUGCUCACCCGGUGUAAGGAGUACUCUGGAAGUUCUUGAUGGCUGGGGCAUAUUAGGAAGCGGGAAACACGUUUCAAUACAAUUAAAAUUGAACACUCAAAGAUUGCCUAUAGAUCUCGCUGCUCAAUUUAGGUGGACAACAAUAUUCCUGGUCGUCGUCAGAUGAACGGUCCUUAAGAUAUAGUAUCUAGGAACUUAAGUUCACCUUGUCUUGUAACAAAUAGUAUGUCCUAAAUUUGUCACAAUUUUUCGUGUUUAAGUGGACAACAAUACCGACGAUCGACCAGACAAAGAUGUGAAUAUGAAAGGUACCGACAAGUGGAUAAAGGCUGUCUAAAAACUUUGAUCCCAAAUCACUCUUAAAGUUAGAUAUAAUUUUUAUUUUUGUUAAAUUUGUCAUAGUUUCUUCUAAUUUAAAUAUUAGGGGAGGAUUAAAAAUUAAAAAUAAUGAAAAUAAAAAAAAUCAGAAAAAUUCAAAAAUCAAAGAAAAAUCAGAAAAAUUAAAAAUCCAAAAAUAUUUUUGUUUCUGUUUUAAUUUGUGUGCUAAGUUUUCUUUUAGUUUAGUUUUGUCUUGAAAAGUGAUUUCAGGUAUAGAUAAGACUCAUGGAGUUUGUGUUGAAGAUUUCUGAGCCAAGGCUUCAUCUGUGAGCAUCGAAGAAUUCGCAUUCGAAGGAGAAAGAAAUGAAGAUUAUUCUUUCGACAUUCAAUCCUUCAACUCCAGAAGCAAGGUGAAGCUGCAAUUGAAGAUUAUGUGAUAGAUUGCAUUGAAGCCUCCUCAAUCAGGCUGCUGCUAUCCUAAACCUGCUGAAGUGAUCUAGAACUUUAGUUCUCUCUGAUGUUCUCUCUGAAGAUUCUCAAGCUGUAAGUGCUAUCUUUCAAGAAUCAGUAUGUCAAGCCUUCUCGCCCAACGUGCGUUCAAUGCCAAAUUCUGAAGAAAAGCCCAACCGCUCAAGAUGAAGUCAUUCAUUGAAGAUUCAUCAAGUUCAUCUUGAAGUCGUGAAGAAUUUGAAGAUUAAUGUUGAAGCCAAGUUCCCAAUGAAGAUUAUCAAGAAAGCCAGCUACUUUUUAGGGGGAGCUUGUUGGGUCAUUAAGAAAAGAAAGCUAUAAACCAAGGGGGAGAUUGUUGGGUCAAAAUAUGGUUUAUACUUUGCUUUUCUGGGCAAUUAUAUUUUUGUGUAAUAUUUUAUGAGCUUAUAGUCUAGUUUACGGUCAUGUCAUGUUUACGGUUUAGUUUACGGCCGUAAACACCUUACGAUCAUAAAACCAUUUACGGCCCAUGUUAUCCGGCCCAUGUUCUCCAAAUAUAAAUAUAGGUGUUAGGGUGAGUAGUAGAGAUUUGAUGAACAUAAGAGAGUUUACGGCCAGAGAGAAGUUUUGUGUGUGUGAAUCUUUUGUAUCCGGAUCUUCAUUCUAAUCAAUUCAUACAUAGAUUCAUAUUAUUCUCAUUCUCCUUCUUUUCUAUUUGAUCUGACAUCAUCCAUUUGAUUGGGAUUCCGCACCAUCAAACGAAUCUGAUUGAUACACAGGCAGAUUAGGGACUUACACAUUUGACCUAAAGUCAGAUGAUAGUUGUGAAUCUUGUUUGCUUGGUAAAAUGACAAAGUCACCUUUUACUGGAACUUGUGCUAGGGGUGAAGGUUUGUUGGACCUCAUACACACGGAUGUGUGUGGACCCUUCAGAACCGCCACAAGAGAUGCUAAUCGGUUUUAUGUGACUUUCACUGAUGAUUUUAGUAGAUAUGGAUAUGUCUACUUAAUCAAGCAUAAGUCAGAAACCUUUGAGAAAUUCAAAGAGUUUAAGCAAGAAGUGGAGAAUCAGUUGGGCAGGAACAUUAAGAUGCUUCGAUCCGAUCGUGGUGGUGAGUAUCUUAGUACUGAGUUCCUUGACUAUCUUAAGGACUGUGGGAUUAUCUCACAAUUGACACCUCCUAGGACACCACAGUUGAAUGGUGUAGCAAAGAGGCGCAAUUGGACCUUGUUGGACAUGGUUCGUUCCAUGAUGAGUCGAGCUUCGCUACCAAUCUCAUUUUGGGGGUAUGCCUUAGAGACUGUCGCCCAUAUCCUAAAUCUAGUCCCUACAAAGAAGGUUGCCAAAACACCUCACGAGAUGUGGACUGGAAAAGUUCCGAAUCUAGACCACAUCAAAAUUUGGGGUUGUGAGGCUUUCGUGAGACGCGAGACUCAUGAUAAGCUCGAACCCCGAAGCAAAAGGUGUAUUUUCAUCGGCUAUCCACAAAAAUCCUUUGGAUACAUCUUCUACAGACCCAAUGAUAAUGUGGUCUUUGUAGCAAGAAGAGGAUUCUUUCAAGAGAGAGAAUUCAUGAGUCAAGGAGACAGUGGGAGGCAAAUUGACCUUGAGGAAAUUCAAGAGUCAAGUGAUGAAGGAACCUCAAAACCCAGCCCUCAACCUAAGCAGGAAACUCUUGUUCAACCGACUGAAGAAUCUAUACCUCUGAGGCGUUCCACCAGAGUUAGGAAUGCACCUGAGCUUAUUAUGGUUUCCAUAUUACUGCAUAAGGUGAGAAACUUAUAAGUGAUAACACACUGGUAAAUCUGGAUGAGCCUAACAGCUACACGGAAGCCAUGGCAGGUCCUGAGGCUGCUAAAUGGAAAGAGGCUAUGGAUAGCGAGAUACAGUCCAUGUAUGACAAUCAAGUUUGGAACUUGGUUGACAAUGUACCUGAUCGUAAGAUAGUUGGGUGCAAAUGGAUCUUCAAGAAGAAGACCGACAUGGAUGGUAAUGUACACACUUAUAAGGCACGACUGGUUGCAAAGGGUUAUUCUCAAACUCCAGGAGUUGAUUAUGAUGAGACCUUUUCACCAGUGGCCAAGAUUAAGUCUAUUAGGGUUCUGUUAGCCAUUGCUGCAUUUCAUGACUAUGAAAUAUGGCAAAUGGAUGUCAAAACCGCUUUCCUUAAUGGAAAGUUGGCUGAAGAUGUUUACAUGGUUCAGCCAGAGGGUUUUGUCAGUACAGAGUACCCCAAUAGAGUGUGUAAACUCGAGAAAUCCAUUUAUGGAUUGAAACAGGCACCUCGCAGAUGGAAUCUUUGCUUUGAUGAGAAAGUCAAGGAAUUUGGCUUUUCAAGGAGUGAAGAUGAAUCUUGUGUCUAUAUCAAGGCUAGUGGGAGCAUAGUCAGCUUUUUGGUACUGUAUGUGGAUGACAUACUACUCAUAGGAAAUGACAUCCCAACCCUGCAGGAAGUAAAGUCCUGGCUUGGGAAGUGUUUCGCUAUGAAGGACCUUGGUGAAGCUGCCUAUAUCCUAGGGAUAAGGAUUUUGAGAAACAGGAGUAAAAGACUAAUUGGACUUAGUCAAAGCACCUAUGUGGACAAAGUGUUGAAAAGAUUCAACAUGCAUAACUCCAAGAAAGGUGAGUUACCCAUUCAGAGUAAUGCCAGAUUGAGUAAGACACAAAGCCCUAGUACUGAGGCUGAGAUAGCAGAAAUGAGUCGAAUACCUUAUGCUUCAGCUGUAGGAUCGACCAUGUAUGCUAUGACGUAUACUCGACCUGAUGUAGCCUANUGCAUGAAGAUAGGCAGAAACUCGACGAGUUGGAAGAACAACUCGACAAGUUGGUUGAAGAUAACCUUGGACUUGACGAGUCUGUUCUUGGACUCGGCGAGUCUGGUCGUGGGGUCCUAACCUUUCCUGGUUGAGCUGUGACUCGGUGAGUCAAGGGAUGACUUAGUGAGUUGAGUGCGAUUAGACUCAGAGUUGUGGGACUCCGCGAGUCUUGGGGCGACUCGGCGAGUUGAGUCGUGUUAUGGGAGUUUCAGAGCAUAGGGACUCGACAAGUCAGCGGGGUGACUCGGCGAGUAGAGAUAGUCUUGUGUUGACUAGUUGUCUUCCAGGGGUAUUUUGGUAUUUAUCGAGUUCAACAUUUUGGUUUUUGAUUAGUGGUGAAGUUUGUAUCAAAGGUUGGAGCAGCGUGAUCUUAUCUCUUCAGUCGGAAGUUGCGAAGUGAGUUAUCCUCACUAUAUCAACAAUUUCUAAGGCACCAAGGCCGACCCUUUAUCAGAUUGUAAUCUGGGUAUCGUUGUUAUGUUAUUGCUUUGCUAUGUUUGCAUCCUAGUAGUUAGGAUGGUAUAUGUUAGAGACCCGGUUAGGUCGGUAUCCUGGUU